rnacentral:rRNA from 1 species
AUUGAACGCUGGCGGCAGGCCUAACACAUGCAAGUCGAACGAGUGGCGGACGUAUGAGUAAUGUCUGGGAAACUGCCCGAUGGAGGGGGAUAGCUACUGGGAACGGUAGCUAAUACCGCAUACCAUCGGAUGUGCCCAGAUGGGAUUAGCUAGUAGGUGGGGUAACGGCUCACCUAGGCGACGAUCCCUAGCUGGUCUGAGAGGAUGACCAGCCACAAUUGAACUGAGACACGGUCCAGACUCCUACGGGAGGGAGCAGUGGGGAAUAUUGCACAAUGGGGGGAAGCCUGAUGCAGCCAUGCCGCGUGUAGGAAGAAGGCCGUCGGGUUGUAAAGUACUUUCAGCGAGGAGGCGUUACUCGCAGAAGAAGCACCGGCCAACUCCGUGCCAGCAGCCGCGGUAAUUC